rnacentral:rRNA from 1 species
AUUGAACGCUAGCGGCAGGCCUAACACAUGCAAGUCGAACGAUUGGCGGACGGGUGAGUAAUGUCUGGGAAACUGCAUGAUGGAGGGGGCUAACUACUGGAAACGGUAGCUAAUACCACAUACCAUCGGAUGUGCCCCGAUGGGAUUGGCUAGUAGGUGGGGUAAAGGCUCACCUAGGCGACGCUCCCUAGCUGGUCUGAGAUGAUGACCAGCCACACUGGAACUGAGCCACGGUCCAGACUCCUACGGGAGGUAGCAGUGGGGAAUAUUGCACAAUGGGGGCAAGCCUGAUGCAGCCAUGCCGCGUGUAUGAAGAAGGCCUUCGGGGUGUAAAGUACUUUCAGCGGGGAGGCGUUACCCGCAGAAGAAGCACCGGCUAACUCCGUGCCAGCAGCCGCGGUAAUAC